UACGGAGGGUGCAAGCGUUAUCCGGAUUCACUGGGCUUAAAGGGUGCGUAGGCGGAGUGGUAAGUCAGUGGUGAAAUCUCCAAGCUUAACUUGGAAACUGCCGUUGAUACUAUCAUUCUUGAAUAUCGUGGAGGUAAGCGGAAUAUGUCAUGUAGCGGUGAAAUGCUUAGAUAUGACAUAGAACACCGAUUGCGAAGGCAGCGUGCUACACGAUCAUUGACACUGAGGCACGAAAGCGUGGGGAUCAAACAGG
rnacentral:rRNA from 1 species